GUAGGUAUGGCAGACAGGUAAUGCAGAGGACUUGAAAUCCUUUAAUGUAGGUUCAAACCCUACUACCAAAUGCCA
rnacentral:tRNA from 1 species